ensembl:rRNA 5S_rRNA 5S ribosomal RNA
GUCUACGGCCGUACCACCCUGAACACACCCAAUCUCAUUUGAUCUUGGAAACUAAGCAGGGUCGGGCUUAGUUAGUACUUGGAUGGGAGAAGUUAAGACCCUGAGUACU